rnacentral:rRNA from 1 species
GAGUUUGGUCAUGGCUCAGAUUGAACGCUGGCGGCAGGCCUAACACAUGCAAGUCGAACGGUAACAGGAAGCAGCUUGCUGCUUCGCUGACGAGUGGCGGACGGGUGAGUAAUGUCUGGGAAGCUGCCUGAUGGAGGGGGAUAACUACUGGAAACGGUAGCUAAUACCGCAUAAUGUCGCAAGACCAAAGAGGGGGACCUUCGGGCCUCUUGCCAUCGGAUGUGCCCAGAUGGGAUUAGCUUGUUGGUGGGGUAACGGCUCACCAAGGCGACGAUCCCUAGCUGGUCUGAGAGGAUGACCAGCCACACUGGAACUGAGACACGGUCCAGACUCCUACGGGAGGCAGCAGUGGGGAAUAUUGCACAAUGGGCGCAAGCCUGAUGCAGCCAUGCCGCGUGUAUGAAGAAGGCCUUCGGGUUGUAAAGUACUUUCAGCGGGGAGGAAGGGAGUAAAGUUAAUACCUUUGCUCAUUGACGUUACCCGCAGAAGAAGCACCGGCUAACUCCGUGCCAGCAGCCGCGGUAAUACGGAGGGUGCAAGCGUUAAUCGGAAUUACUGGGCGUAAAGCGCACGCAGGCGGUUUGUUAAGUCAGAUGUGAAAUCCCCGGGCUCAACCUGGGAACUGCAUCUGAUACUGGCAAGCUUGAGUCUCGUAGAGGGGGGUAGAAUUCCAGGUGUAGCGGUGAAAUGCGUAGAGAUCUGGAGGAAUACCGGUGGCGAAGGCGGCCCCCUGGACGAAGACUGACGCUCAGGUGCGAAAGCGUGGGGAGCAAACAGGAUUAGAUACCCUGGUAGUCCACGCCGUAAACGAUGUCGACUUGGAGGUUGUGCCCUUGAGGCGUGGCUUCCGGAGCUAACGCGUUAAGUCGACCGCCUGGGGAGUACGGCCGCAAGGUUAAAACUCAAAUGAAUUGACGGGGGCCCGCACAAGCGGUGGAGCAUGUGGUUUAAUUCGAUGCAACGCGAAGAACCUUACCUGGUCUUGACAUCCACGGAAGUUUUCAGAGAUGAGAAUGUGCCUUCGGGAACCGUGAGACAGGUGCUGCAUGGCUGUCGUCAGCUCGUGUUGUGAAAUGUUGGGUUAAGUCCCGCAACGAGCGCAACCCUUAUCCUUUGUUGCCAGCGGUCCGGCCGGGAACUCAAAGGAGACUGCCAGCGAUAAACUGGAGGAAGGUGGGGAUGACGUCAAGUCAUCAUGGCCCUUACGACCAGGGCUACACACGUGCUACAAUGGCGCAUACAAAGAGAAGCGACCUCGCGAGAGCAAGCGGACCUCAUAAAGUGCGUCGUAGUCCGGAUUGGAGUCUGCAACUCGACUCCAUGAAGUCGGAAUCGCUAGUAAUCGUGGAUCAGAAUGCCACGGUGAAUACGUUCCCGGGCCUUGUACACACCGCCCGUCACACCAUGGGAGUGGGUUGCAAAAGAAGUAGGUAGCUUAACCUUCGGGAGGGCGCUUACCACUUUGUGAUUCAUGACUGGGGUGAAGUCGUAACAAGGUA